GGGGAAGAAGCCUCCUCAGCAAAGGACAGCUCCCUCUUUCAGUCUUUCCUCUUUUGCGCUGCGCCUGCCAGUCACUAGGAAUCCACCUUGCGUCCAGAUGCAGCAUGUACCACAAGAUCGCAUCACCAGUUCAGGUCUCCCAAUCAUAGAGGAGUAUCACAUUGAGCUGUGAAUUGGAUCCUUGCAGAGCUGUGAAACUGUCACGGUUGGAUAUAUAGUACUGCUUAGUGUUCUUCAGUCACAUGCAUGUCCUUGUUUAUCAGCAAUUCAGUGAUUCAGUUGAAUCCACAGACAGUCUGUCCAUCACCUGACUGACAGGCAGUGCUGGCAGUAAGAUCUGGAGUAGGCAAUUCUGAAUGAAUCAGAAAAACACUAGAGUGACUCGUCUGUUGAACUCCUAACCGAGGCUGAGAAAAGUGAUAGAACAGUUGAUCUAUCAGAAAGCAAUCAAAAGAGGUUUGCUGGUCCGCAUGACCAUCUGUGUUGCUGAUAUCGGAACGCUUUGAGCGUACUGGGGAGUUCAUUUUUCACCUGAAAAUAAAUUUCUGGGUGGUGCAUAUUUACCAUGAGAUCGUCAAGGAACACAAACUUCCAUCCUUUGAGGCUUGCUCGGACCGCCAAAUCCAUGUCUUCAACUGUGGUUCGGUCCUUCCAACCUCCUGCUUCAUUCAGAGCAGAUAUGCGCCAC